GCCACCGGUCUGGCAUUCUGCAACUCCUCAAGCCAUGUUCGCCGUCCUUCGCUGGUGUUCUUUUGGCGUGGAAUGCAGUGAUAGUCUGAGCCCUGGGGCAAACAUGUCUAGCAGCACCCUAUCUGACGACAAUGACAGAAGGUGACAUCGCAUAGCCCGAGGCACGCAUGUCUAAGUGCAGCUCCUAUCUCCGAUGUCAGGUGACAGCCGCCCAGUGCCCACGGUUUCACACCCUUCGUAUGGCCAUGCAGUCUCAGUGUUGGCCGGCUAUCCACGGUGAAUGAGAGCGGUAGCAGCAGCUGCUACGAUUGCUGCAUCAAGCUGACAUGCUUGAGGAUUUGCGCGUCUGUUGUCGUUCGGGCUAGGGACGGUGGAAUUUCCUGGUCACGCAGGGGACAAAUUGAAAAUUCCCAUCUCUGUGCUUUUCCCGUUCAGUACAUGACAGAGGACUGGAAGUAACGCAUCCAUGCCCCCAGGUCGCAUGCUGCCUCAACGAACAAGACGCAGACAGUACAGAGCUUGGACGCCUCCGCACCGGCUAGCACACUGCACACUGCCUCCGCAUCGACUAGCACACUGCACACUGCCUCCGCAUCGACUUCCACACUGCACACUGCCUUCGCAUCGACUAGCACACUGCAUCAUCACAGCAAGAAUCCACUACUCUCAGCAGUUUUCCGCAUCAGGGACGAUCGUCAUCGUACCCUGAAUGACCACACUUUGCAGACUCCCGCAUCGCUCGCAAACUUGUCCACGUGAUGUGGCCUCUGCCGGGGCUUCCCUCGCGGCUCCGAUAGCCGCCCCGAACACGUAAAUGUUAUGUGUGUGCAACCGCUGGUGAUAUCUAUCUGCUAUCGGGCCUGUGGAACGUGCAAGACUAUUGACAACCCUGGACAUGCCGCGUGCCGACUGCAGCCACACACCUGGCAGUGAUGCAUUCAAGCUUCGCCGUGCUGAUCGGCUGCAUUAUCUCGGCCUCAACACAUGUAUCGCGCAAUCCCCAUUGGGACUGCUGCCAGUGUACGGGAGCAAUGCAUUUUGAAGCACCGGUCAUGCAUAACCUGCACACAGCAUGCUGUAUGUUGCCCGUGCACUGGAAGGGUACUCUAUUGUACUGUAGGGGUAUAUGUGUGAUGUAGCACUUCAUACCAUAGUAGUACCGUUGCUCUGGCUUAGGUGCGUUAUGAUUUUCCAUUGCACCAAAUCCUGGAUUUUCUCUCAUUCAAUUUUCUUAGUUAUGCAAAUAAUUCCUUCCACACUUAUACCAUGCAGUAGCCUUUGUGAAUGUCCGAGGAGAGAGCAUUAAUCAUUGAGCUGUCUACAUUGUAGCUUGUGAUGGCUAACUAUCAAAAACACUGAUGGUGUGAUAUUGUUGGACAUAUUUCUGCGAUUCCCAUUUACACCUUGUGGGAAAACGAUAUGGCAAACCGAUAAUUAUGGUACUUCUAUUAAAAUAGAUCGGAUCAUCAGCUCCUCAUACAUCUAGCUGCUCCCCGCUUGCUUUGAACUUACAGGCCGUCACAAGGGAAGAAGCUAUGACAUUCUCCACAGUUCCAUUAGUGUUUUGUGCUGGUCCUGCUCCAUAACACUGGUAUUGUAUUCAAUUAUCUUAGUUGGGCAUUCCCAACAGAUCCUAAGGUCGUCGACUCGAUCAUUCUUAGCAUGCACGACAGCACAUUGUACGCUGAGCUGACCUGUUCCACGAGUAAACAUGCUAAAUGCCAUGCAGCGUAAUCAUGAUACUGGCCACUCCAAACG